AAACCCGAGCUCAGCUCUAAGUUCAGCGCGGCGGCCGGCCGGGAGCCGCUUUUAGCGCCUCCCUUGACUUUUACCUAGGGCGCGCCUUCCCUUUUACUGCGCCUGCGUGCGCGCGCAAACGACAGGCCCCGCCUCUCCGGUAGGGACGACAGACGUGCGCCGGGAGGCGGGCUGCGCACGCGCGAUCGCCCGCGUCAGCCACUUGCGCGGGGCCGGUGACUUGAAAGUACCGGGUCGUCCUGUGUUCGGCGCGGGGUCUGCAGCCGCGCAGCGUGGAUCGGCGCGCGCGGAGACCGAGAAAAGCGUGGGGACGGGGAAGGCUCUGCCUCGGGGCUGCAGGAGUCAGAGGUAGUGUUUCUUUCCUGUCCCCUCCCCAGCCUAGAACUCGCUCCCCCCCCACCCCCCGCCUCCAACCCUGCCUCUCUCUCCUGGGGACCCCUUCCGCGCCUCCUGUUUCCGAAAGUGAGCCCCUGGCAAGGUCAUGAAGCUUGUGAGGAAGGACAUCGAGAAGGACAAUGCGGGCCAGGUCACCCUCGUCCCCGAGGAGCCCGAGGACAUGUGGCACACCUACAAUCUAGUGCAGGUGGGCGACAGCCUGCGCGCCUCCACCAUCCGCAAGGUCCAGACCGAGUCCUCCACGGGCAGCGUGGGGAGCAACCGUGUCCGCACCACCCUCACCCUCUGCGUGGAGGCCAUCGACUUUGACUCUCAAGCCUGCCAGCUGCGGGUGAAGGGGACCAAUAUCCAAGAGAAUGAGUACGUCAAGAUGGGGGCUUACCACACCAUCGAACUGGAGCCCAACCGCCAGUUCACCCUGGCCAAGAAACAGUGGGACAGUGUGGUUCUGGAACGCAUCGAGCAGGCUUGUGACCCAGCUUGGAGCGCUGAUGUGGCAGCCGUGGUCAUGCAGGAGGGCCUCGCCCACGUCUGCUUAGUCACGCCCAGUAUGACCCUCACCCGUGCCAAGGUGGAGGUGAACAUCCCCAGGAAACGGAAAGGCAACUGCGCCCAGCAUGACCGGGCCCUGGAGAGGUUCUAUGAACAGGUGGUCCAGGCCAUCCAGCGCCACAUAAACUUUGAUGUUGUCAAGUGCGUCCUCGUGGCCAGCCCAGGAUUUGUACGAGAGCAGUUCUGCGACUACAUGUUUCAGCAAGCGGUCAAGACGGACAACAAAGUGCUCCUGGAAAACCGGUCCAAAUUCCUGCAGGUACACGCCUCCUCUGGACACAAGUACUCCCUGAAAGAGGCCCUUUGUGACCCUACUGUAGCUAGCCGCCUUUCAGACACGAAAGCUGCCGGGGAAGUGAAAGCCUUGGACGACUUCUAUAAAAUGUUACAGCAUGAACCUGACCGAGCUUUCUACGGACUCAAGCAGGUGGAGAGGGCCAACGAAGCCUUGGCGAUCGACACGUUGCUCAUCAGUGAUGAGCUCUUCCGGCAUCAGGAUGUGGCCACCCGGAGCCGGUAUGUCAGGCUGGUGGACAGUGUGAAGGAUAACGCAGGCACCGUCCGGAUAUUCUCUAGCCUCCACGUGUCUGGGGAACAGCUUGGCCAGUUGACUGGAGUAGCUGCCCUUCUCCGCUUCCCAGUGCCGGAACUUUCUGACCAAGAGGAUGAUUCAAGUUCUGAAGAGGAUUAAGACUGACCUUUAAUAGUUGCUUCUUCUCUCUUACUUUUUUUCUUCUUCUCGGCAUCCCUUGACAGGUGCAAGACAGGCACUUGUUGAUCGUGCUGAGAUUUCUUGUGUGUUGGUCACACUAGGUGUUUUCUGGUUGGCAGGACAUGUAUUUAAAUGAAAUAAACCAAAAGAAAAGAA